UGGAUUGUGUUGAGAGUCUGAUUAGUUUGUGUUAGUAGUGAAGUGAUCUGUUUCAGAAUGUGGUCUGAUGUUCUGGUUGCUUUCCCACGUGCUGAAAUGUUUUGUGAUCUUUACACCAUCACACUCUCCAGGACCUUCUGAACAGAAUUGGACUCAGAAUAAAGCAGGAAGUCACAUCAGUUGCCCCCGAGCAUGCUGGGAAAAUCAGAACUAAGCCCCCUUUUUGUUUAAAAUAAAUAGGAAAGAUGGCGGCAUGAGAGCUGCAGAUUCACCACCUUCUCCUCCUCACAACCUUUCAGCCUGGAAAAUGCCUGAAAUCUAAUUUCAGCCAAAAUGAAAGACUCGUGUGAACUUGUGGAAGGUUCCACUGUGACAGAUCUACAGAAUUCUACAGAGAAACAUCAGGCUGAGUUUCCUGGAGGCUGCAGCAGUGCAUUCUGGGAGUUCUGAAGAAGUUGGAUCAAAUUGGCAGACGGAUGAACCCGGCGCCUGCUAUUAUGGAAAGAUGGAGUCUGGGAGACAACAACAUUUGGUUUAUGAUGUCGACUCAUUUGAGGGACCUGAUUUAGGGAAGCUGCUGAUAUCCAAUAGUAGGAGGGAACACCUGAAAGAACACCUAAAUAGAUCACCCUGGUGAAGAAGGCUGAUGGUCAGAGCUGUUUUAUCGGUUCUACAGUUGCUGGUUUCUUCUCCUUCAGACUCCCUCUGUUUCUCUCCUCUUCCCUCAGUCUCUUCUAUCGCUCUUAUUCUCAGUGGGUAAACCCAACAUCAGCCAUUAGAUUGUGAUCUAAAGGGAAAUGCUUCCAGAAGAGUUCUCUCUCUUCCCCUGUUAGUUCUGGCUUUUAAAGACUCCGAGCAGAACUUCAGCACCACAUCACAUCUGGGGAACAUUCCAGUCAGCAGCGUAUCUGCCAGUGUUCCUCACACCUGUAUGGAUCUGGUUCUUUUUUCCCGCACGUUUUCCUGUGUUGUUCUCCACAACGCCGCUGCACAUAGACAUGUCAUUUUCCCCGGCAGGAGGCUGAAGCUGCAUCUCAACACUAUUUUCUCUAAUUGCUGUUUUGAUUUCAGAUGCUUUUGAACUCUGUAGGACACCGAGGAGAUUCGAAAUUUAAUUAUUUGGAGUGAAAUAAAUACAGACUGUGAUGGCCUUUGAAAAAGCCCAGAUGUCACAUUUCACCCAUCUCACACACACACACACACACACACACACACACACACACACUGCUCUAAAUUCUCUAUAAUUUGCCCCUUUCUAUUGCAUAAUAACACACACCACACCAGGCGGAGGAGAGCAGCAGUGAGAAACGCUCCAAGUACACACUGUUACUGCUGGAGAUACCAUCAACUUCAACAAUACUACUAACAAUGAUCAUCAUCAUCACAUCUACUGUGGAGAGUUGCUCUGUAUUGAUUACAGUUUUGUUCUGAAUUUUGUUUCUGCAUUGUUUUGAAUUAUUUACCGAAUCAAUAAUGUAUUCACACACACACACACACACACACACACACACACACACACACACACACACACACACACACUUUGGUCCCCUGUGAACGUAGGCCAUGUUUAACUCUGAGAGUGUGACAGCUCCUGCUGAACCUUCUGCUCAGUGGAAAUUAAAUUGUCAUGUUCCAGCACCAAAAAAACUCACAAGGCCAAAGGGAGCGAUCACAGAGACGAGACAAAGCCAGUGGGAGCAAUCAGGGACAGGACAAGUCAAGGGGACAAAUGGCAGAAAUGAGUGGAGGCCAAAGCAAUGAUGAAAGUGAUGGCACCCCGCCGGCUCAGGCAGAGAUGUCCCACAGGACACAGCUGGGAAGAAUCAUCAAGGACAAGCCGAGAACGAGUGAUAUGAACAAGGACCUCAGGGAGUCGCAGAAUUGGGACAAGUCCAAUCCAUUCCUGGUGGGGGUGGGACACACGACGUGCUGAAAUUAUUACCACCAUCACGUUCACAUGAACCGAGGAACAUUUUCACUGCGUACUCAAAUCAGGAUCAAUGCUUUCUAAACAUAUUUGGUCGUGUCCAACAGAGACAGAAGAUCAGGAUAAACAGGACGAAGACCCAGAACCCAGAGUGAUCUACCCAAAGCACAGGACAACAGCAAAAGGAGAAAUGAAGCGAUCACAGAAAUUAAACUGGGUCAGAAGGUGUGAAUUCAGAGACAACAAAAUUCUGCAAAAUGAAGAUGAUUAGACCCGAGUGAGAGAUACAGGGGCAGGAACAAGGGCAGGAACAGGGGCAGGAACAGGGGCAUGGUGGAGUGAUUGAUCACACACGUUAAAGAAAACUAGGUCCAGGAGAUAUAGGGACAUGGCCUGGAGUAGGAGGGAGAGAGAGAGAGAGAGAGAGAGAGAAAUAAGGUUAAAAAAAAAGGAACUUGCCGAGGAUCGGAGGACGGAGGGAGACACGACACCUAAACAAGCAACAACCUGGUCAGAAAGAGAAGAUUAAAGUCUAGACCAGGAGCAACAACUGGUAAUACAGGAGAAACAACUCAUUUUUUUCUUUCCUUACGUACACAUGAAUAUCAGACUCGUCAUGUCCAAGUCGUGACAAGAAUCAAUCAAACGUGAUCCUGGGAAUGUGAUGAAAUUUGAUGAACAUGAUUUGAAAAACUGUAGAAUGGGAGAUAUAUAAAUCAGAGAUCGGUGUAAAUUGUGGCAAAAUCAACAACAUUACAAUAAAAGAUCU